GACGAACGCUGGCGGCGUGCUUAACACAUGCAAGUCGAACGGUAAGGCCCUUCGGGGUACACGAGUGGCGAACGGGUGAGUAACACGUGAGCAACCUGCCCCUGACUCUGGGAUAAGCGCUGGAAACGGCGUCUAAUACUGGAUAUGUGAUGUGACCGCAUGGUCUGCAUCUGGAAAGAAUUUCGGUUGGGGAUGGGCUCGCGGCCUAUCAGCUUGUUGGUGAGGUAAUGGCUCACCAAGGCGUCGACGGGUAGCCGGCCUGAGAGGGUGACCGGCCACACUGGGACUGAGACACGGCCCAGACUCCUACGGGAGGCAGCAGUGGGGAAUAUUGCACAAUGGGCGGAAGCCUGAUGCAGCAACGCCGCGUGAGGGAUGACGGCCUUCGGGUUGUAAACCUCUUUUAGCAGGGAAGAAGCGAAAGUGACGGUACCUGCAGAAAAAGCACCGGCUAACUACGUGCCAGCCGCCGCCGUAA
rnacentral:rRNA from 1 species